AAUUACAUUUUCAAUUUCAUUAACAGAGAUUGGGUUAUUCAACAGUUUUACAUCCUCUUGAUCUAGCUUUGGUACUUCAUAUGCUUCUAAGAAUCUGUCUAUUCUGUGUUAUCAAACUUUUGAGAGUAGAGGUUUUCGAAAUAGGUGUUGAUGAUCUUCUGUAUUUCUAUUGGGUCUGUAGUGAUUUCACCUUUUUCAUUUCUUAUUGCAUGAAUUUGAGCUUUUUCUUCCCUUUUUAAAAUAAGGUUGGCUAGGGGCUUAUUGAUUUUAUUUAUUCUUUCAAAGAACCAACUCUUUGAUUCGUUGAUUCUUUGGAUUGUAUUCUUAGUCUCUAUUGCAUUGAUUUCUGCUCUGAUUUUUAUAAUUUCCUCUCUUCUUUUGGCUUUGGGCUUGACUUGCUCUUCUUCUUCUAGCUGUUUGAGGUGUCACAACCUGUUUUCUGGAGAGGAUCACACACCCAUCUAAUUUGCUUACCCCAAAUCUAACCCAUUACUCCAUGUUACUUUUAGUUCAUCUAUUAAUGUUACAGAACAGGUUUUAUGUGAAUAGUUGCAUAGUAUUUUAUAGUGUAGUCAUUGAAUAUUUUAUUUAAUGGCCCCAUUUCUCACUGUUAGGUUAUUGGCCACAUUUUGCUCAAAUAUGACUCAAAGUUAAAAUAAAUGUGUAUAUUUUGGUACAUGUAUAUGAGAAUAUUUCUGUAGGAUAUGUUGCUAGAAUAGAAUUCCUCAAAAAAUGUGAAAAUUUAAAUGCUUGAAGAGGUAUUUCUAAAUUUCCCCCAAAUCCAUUUAGGUUUCUAUCAGGACCAUGAACUGAGGUUCACAUGCUCAGCUACAGUAGAAGUAUUAGUCUUUCUGUUUUUGUGUAUCUGAUAAGGGAAAAUGUUAUUUCAUGUUUUAAAGGCUAUUUCUCGAAUUAUCAAAGGGAUAGUGCAUCUUGCAUCUUGUUCUGAGAACAGUGAAUAUUUCUAUUUGAGAUUAUAUAUUUAAUUUCCUAAUUGGAAAAAUGGCUCAUACACUACUAUUUUAUUUGUGAUAUGUAUGAAGACUAUAUUCUUAUUUUUUUAUAAGUGGAUUUUCAAAAUAUUAAAACCUGUUGUGUGUGUGAAGGUAGUGGGUCUUGUUUUUAAGGUUUAUUUUGAAGAGGAUAAAACCAAUCAAAACCAAUGUAAUAGUUACAGAACUUCGAAAUUGCAAAAUCCACAAUAGUUACUGUAAUGCCUCUUGAUAUCUUCAAAAUAGCUGCAGAUAACUUUGGACAUAAUAAAAAUCAAACAGAACAGCUAGAAACAAAAACAAAAAAAAAUGAAUGCAAUAAAGAACUUCAAAACAAGCCAAUAGUGAAUUCAAAAUUGCUACCAUAAUAAUUCUUGCUAUCUUUGAAAUAGCUGCUCCAGCCAUUAGAUUUAACAUAAGUAAAACAGAAGAGAAUAAAACCCAACCCAACAAAACAAAUGGAAAUGAUAUAGGACUUCCAAAACAAGACCAUAGGGAAUCAACAAUGGCUGCAACCCUCAGAAAGAGAUCCUCCCUAGAUGCCACACUGUGUACUGCUGUCCUCUGACCCCAUGAUCAGACCCCUGAUCCUAGACCUGCAAUGUUACUGAAACAGCAAAGUAUCACAGGCAUCCAACUGCAUUUCACCUCCAUAGCCAUCACAACAGCCUGUCUUUCUUAGGAUAAGCCAGUCGCUGAUGGUGGGAAGGGUGUUGGUACUUCUUGUUUGCCAGCCACCAGAAGGGGCUGGAGUGUGGCUGUUCUAGUCUGGUGGUGGCCUAUGCAUGGCAUUGCUUCUAAGACUGGGCUUGCUUGCUGGUGUGGCCUUGUUCUCUCUCUCCCCUACAGUCUGCAAAUGUCACUGACUCAAAGAGAGAGGCUGGGCUCUGUCUAUUCCAGCCCGGUGGCGGCCUAUACAUUGUGCUGGCUCCCAGACUGGGCUUACUUGCUGCUGUGGCCUUCUCGUUUCUACCUCCAGUCUGCAAAGGGUGCUGACUCACAGGGAGAGGCUGGGGUCUAUCUGUUCCAGUCUGGCAGCAGCCCGCUCAUGGUCAGUAGUGGGUCUUUUAAAAAAUGAUUUUAAUUGACAAAAUGGUAUGCAUUUAUUGUGAACAUGUUGUUUUGAACUAUGUGUUCAUUAUGGAAUGACUUAAAUUAACAUAUGAAUUAUCUCAGGUAGGAGUAAUUAUCAUUGUCAUUUUUGUGGUGAGAACACUUUAAACUUACUGUCUUAGUAUUUUUAAAAUAUAUAUUGUUACUAACUGUACUUAUCCUGCUCUACAGUAGAUCAUAAUUCUGAUUUGCUUAACCCUUACUUUAGUGCUAACAGAGAAAGUUUCCAUAGAUUGUGCUACAGGGCAGCAGGAUGCUUCAUGGCUAUGGGCGUGGUCUUUGGAGUCUGACUGACCUGCUUUGGGCUGCAGGUUGAGUCAGAUCCUUGCGAAAGUUUCUUACCUUCCCUGUGCCUGUCUCACCACUUUUUGUAAAAUAAGUAUAGUAAAAGUUCUGAACUCACACAAUUUUUGUGAGUUCAGAACUUUCAUUUUUUAUGUUUUAGCACUGUUGGUGUUUGGACCAGGGGCCUUGCACAUGCUAGACAAGUGCUAUACCACUGAGCUGGACCCUAGUGCUACCGUCAGCUAUAGACACGAUAGUAACAUAAUGCAUGUAAUGUAGCACAAUUGCUAACACUUCAAGGUGCUCAAUAAAUGCCAUCUGUCAAAAUUAUUAUUUAUAAUGCAUUCAGUAUAUGCAGAGCGUUAGACAUUUAUGUUUUAUUCUAGGUCCUAGAAACUUUCCCAGUAAAAGUUAAAUAUCCUAGAUGGCUCAACCAAUUCCCUUUUAUUAGACCGGGCAUUUCUCAUUAUGUUUUAGCCAGCCAUAUGAAAUGUUUAUUUCUUAGAGUACUAAAAUAAUUAACUUUCCCAUUAAUUCAAUCUCACUUUUAAGUUCAUAGAGUGUUUAAGACCUGAGAGGUUCAGUUAUCUUCAAAAGUCUGUUGCAUUUCCUCUGGAUGAAAUUUAUUCUAUAUUCCUUUAAAAUAUGAAAAUCUAAAUUUAUAUGAAAUGGAAGGAAACCAAGACAGAAAAUUAGAAAACAGAAAGGAAACUUAAAGGCAUUUUAGUUCAACUUUUCACUUUAUAGGUGAAAGCUGAAGCCCAGGGGCAGGAAGCAACUUUUCUAAGGUCUCACAAGAGGAGGAGAACUCAGACAUCCCAACGUGAGAGCAGCACUCUGUGAAACCAUGCCGUGUUCAAGGAGCCACUGCUGGUCACCCAGCUUGGUUUGAAAAAUCGUCUCCUUGAUACAGUCCCAAAGGAAAUGAAAUCACCACCUUGUUAAAAUGUCUCCACGCUCAUGCUCAUUUCAACACUAUUCACAAAAGGAAAAUUGUGGAAACAACCUAGGUAUCUACCCACAAAUAAAUGGAUAGAAAAUGGUGAUAUUUAUUUACCAUGAAACAUUAGUCAGCCUUAAAAAAAUGAGGUAAUCGUACCAUUCACUACAGCAUGGAUGGAUCUAGAGGAUAUUUUACUUGGUGCAAUAAACCAGACACAUAAAUAAUAUUGUAUGAUCUUACAUAUGAAAUCUAAUGAAAAGAUUGAAUAUAGAGAGAUGGAGAAUGAAACAGUGAUUAGGAGGGUUAGUGUGGAAGAAGGAAUAGGAAACCACUGUUUGAAAGGACAGAUGUAGCAAAUAUGGAGGAUGAGGAGAUCUAAAGAUUUAAUGUCUCCAGGGGUGUAACUCGGCAGCACAGCAUCUGCCUUGUAAGCAUGAGGUCUUGAGUUUGAUUUCUGAUUUAGGAAAGAAGAAAAAAAAGCAAGCUACGCCAGGCCCAGGAAGAGAAAUUUAGAUAGUGCCUCCUGAGAAUCAGCCAUGCUUGGACUCAGAGAAGCCAGCUAACAAGGCAACUAGCCAGUGUUUCUAGUAAGCUGCACAAGUCCUGCAGAGCCCAGAAGAGAAAGGUCAGAUAGCACCUCCUGUGAGCUCACCAAGCCUACUGGCAGGCAGGCUGAGAAGUCUCUGUCCCACAAGCAAUCAGCUGAUUAGGAGGACGGGCUGAGCGGUUACAGUGUGCAGUAUAGCAAACAUGGGAGAUUUCAUUCUAUCUUGGUUUUGAAGUCCAAUAUUAUUCUCAUUGUUCUGAUCAAUUGUUUUGCUUUGUUGAAUAUUGUAUUUUGGUUGGUUUUAUUGUGGUUUUUGUUUGAUUUUGUUAUAUCUGAUGGAAAGGACAACUAUUGUGAAGAUAACAAGAUGCACUAUGGUAGCCUUUGUUGUCUUCCUAUUGUCCUGGUUUGAAGUUCUGUACCCAUUUCACUGCUUUUUUAUUGGAUUUAUUCUGUGUUUUUGGGGGGUUAUGACCUUUAAAAUAAAAUUUAUAAAAGAUAUGAUGUACAAUGGGGAAGUUAGAGCUAAAACAAUUGUACUCAGAAUCAAAAUUUGGGAGACUGUGUAGAUUACAGCUUCUGUUACUCCUAUGUGUGGUGAAGGAUACAUUAAUUAAUCCACCAUAGUAGCUAUUUUUCUAUAAAGAGUGUGUGGCAUAUCUUAAAUCUAUCCAAUGAAAUACAUUUAAAAGCUAACAUACAACAAUAAAGGUUUUUAAAAGAUAUUAUGAGUCACAAUGGUCUGGAGUUUGUCAAGAAAGCAAGGCGUGACACCCUUCUCUAACUGUUGGAGGAUGUGGGCACGGUGAGGUCCAGCACCACAGCGCUCCAGGUCUCCUUCACUUUUGUCUAUGCUUAGCAGCUCACGUAUAAGAAGAGUGUGCAGCCAUCAAGGUAGACAGUCCCAGGGGUCCUGCAGGCUGGCUGUUGGCAGUCCCUGGGACACAUGCCAGAGAUGCCACAGGUGCCAAUUACUUGUGGAAAGUGAGUCAGCUGCCACCUGUGGAUUACCAGUCACCUUGCUUUAGGUGGAUAUUGUCUCCACCCUCCUACCUGCAUCAUCUGGGGCGACACCCUUACGAGAAUUCCCAAGCGGCCCCAUCCUGGCCUUCCAGCACCACACGCUCAGUAAUUGAGCACACUCACUAAAGCAGCCAGCAGCCACUGAUCCCUGUCAUAAAAAUGAGCAAACAUUCUCUGCAUGAUCAAAUAGUUAUCUUCUUGCUUCCUUCACUCAUUUAUUUUUUUAUUUAUAUCAUGGAGUAAUAGCAUGUUUUUGAUUGUUAAUAUAGAGUAAGCCAAAACAAGAAUUAGGCAAAUCUAAUGAGUUUACCAUACCUCAAAAGAAUAAAAGGUAACAUAUUCCCAGCCUAUAUAUGAUGGGUAGAAAUCUGGACACAUUGAUCGUUUAGUUGUUCAUUUACUUAAACAUUAGUGCUUGUUUACUGAGCACCUACCAGGAAUUGUCCUGUUGCUGGCUUUUCAAAGUGUGAAUAAUCCUAAAUCCUCCAUGAAAGACUGGCUCAGAGUUCACGUACACCUGGCUGCUUAGUCUUGAAUUGUUUGCUACCAUUAAAUAAUUCUAUCACCUUGAGCAAAUAAAUAGCUUCUCUAAACUUUAUAUUCCCAAUUCUUAUGUAAGGACUAUUGGUUCCUUCUUUACAUAUUUCACUGUGAGGAUAUUAAAGCAUUUAACAUAGUGUGUAAAACAAAGUAACAAUUACCAAUUAUGAUUUUAAGAGGAUUAGAAAUCAGAAGAUAGGUCAACCCUGAAAACUUAGAAAUGAGAUCAAUAAACAGUUAAGAGUUACUGUAUGGGACAAUGUCUUUUUUUUUUUUUAUUUAAAGAAAAGGAAACGAAAAAAAAAUACAUGGAGAUUAAAAAAAAAAGGGUAGAAAUAAUACUAAAUUACAGACAAACAAAAGGUAAGAAAUUGCCAGUUGAUAAGUUACAAAUUGUCAUCUUCGAAAUGGCUGUUCAGGUUAUAGAAUUAAAGUAUAUAGAAUGACAUUCAAAAAAAUGACCCUACAAACCAUUCUGCUCUAUGGCCGAACAAAAGCUCCGUAAUAUGAUUAUCAGUCCCACCUAUUUGUUUUACAUCUCUAAGAGGAUAAGGUUAACCAUAUCAAAACAGAACAGAACAUUUAAAAAAAAAUAAAAAACAAUUUAAAGAAAUACAGAUUUCAAAGCAAGUCCACUGGAGAUCUACCUUAUCUAACUGUCUCUAGCUUCUUACAAAUAGUUGUCCCUAACUUCACCCACUUUCUAUACUUAUUGCAUAUUAUAGAACUAAUCAAAUCAUUACAGGAUGAUGGAGUCUUUUUAGGUCCUCAAGUUCCAAAUUAGGGAAGACAAUACCAACUACCAUCGCAUCUCUCAUUCUCUUUGUGAUAGCCGUCCCCAUCUCUGCAUAUGCUGAAGUUGAGCUGAAGAAACCAGUCCAGAGUCAUUUUAAUCAGCAAGCAAUAGAUUGCUAGAAUUUAUAUUAUAAUGCUACAAAAUAAGCCUCGGGUUUUUCUGGUCUCUUCCUCAGAGUAUUUGUUCCUAUCCUCUCUGUAUUAUAGGGAAAACCAAGUCAUAACAAGACAACGAAACAAUUUCCUAGAUAAACAUGCAAUGGAUAGGACUUAUAAAACUAUAAUAUAAAUGAUCUUCCGUAGCUACUAUGUUUUCGCUUGUUAUUUUCAAUAGAUUUGUCGACAACACUGGCUUAUUAUAGUUAAACAUACUAUCACCUAUUUUUAUAAAAACUUAUCUUUGACUGCAUUGUAGUAUUUGAGAGCUGUUACUGAUUCAUACCAGUAUGGAUAUCCUUUACAUCUUGUCAUGCUCAGAGUAGUUUCCUCUACUUUUAGGGUUGAUUCUAACACGCAUACCGAUUUCAAAUAGGAUCAGUCAAGGCCAUCCAAUAGUCUUAUGAUUCAGAUACAAUUAAGAUCAGUCAUAGUAAGACAAUGUAAGUAAUACAGAAUUUCAGCCUAAGUCAAUAGGAAAGUAAGGAUAGUUACCGUGGUAUAACCUGCUAUUUUUGGUUCUAGAGGUCUGUGUCCUCAAAUCUGAUAUGAGUGGACAGACCAGAACAAAUUUAAUUCAAUCUAAAUAUGGCACUAGGACUACUGUGUCUUUUAAAUCGUUAUACACCAUUAGCAAUGACCUCUGCUUUUUUUUUUUAAAUAUAGUUUCAGAGCUGUCUCUACUAAAGACUAGCUUACCGUCUCUGCCUCAUGUCUGCUACUCCACUUUUCUGCUAUAAUUUGUCCACCUUAUUCCCUCAUUCCAUGGUCUGCCCCGUUCACUGAGGCUUCUCUGCCACUGUAGCUGUAAUCCUGAUAUCUCUUCCUCUCUUUCUCUGUAAUGUCCUUCAGCGCUCUCUGUAGGGUUGGAUUGGUGGCCACGAACUCCCACAGUUCCUCCUUGUCUUGAAAGUAUCUUAUUUCUUCAUUAAUUUUUAGAGAGAGUUUUGACGGAUAUAUGAACUAGGUUGCAUAUUUUUUUCCUUCAGGACUUGGAAUAUUUCUCCCCACUCCCUUCUUGACUUAAGAGUUUGUGUUGAUAAGUCUGCUGUUAUUUUGAUAGAUUUCCCAUUAUAGGUAACCUGCAUCCUUUCUCUGGCUGCUUUUAAUAUUCUGUUUUUUUGGUGGAUUUCUGGGAUCUCGAUUAUUAUAUGCCUAGGCGUAGAUCUGUUUUGGUUGUAGGUAGCUGGCGUUCUGUAUGCUUCUUUUAUCUGGAUAUCAUUUCUUUUUGCUAUACGUGGGAAAUUUUGCUUUAAUAUCUCUGUGAAUAUUUUUUGUAUUUCAUUUUUGGAUGUUCCUGCUUCCUCACUCACAUUCUUUAUUCUUAGGUUAUGUAGCUUUUUAUCAUCUUCCAGUUUUAGAAUUGCUUCUUUCUGGUUCCUUGUUAUUUUUAAGAGGCUUUUUCUUUCACGUUCAUAAGCCCUAAAUCUCUCUUCAAGUUUCAGAAGGUUGUCUUUAGUUUCUGUCAAGGCAUUUUGCCAAUAUUCAAUGGAGUUCUUAGUUUCCUGAUAUUCUCUUUGGAUCUGUUUCAUGUAUUCUAAGUUAUGCUUAAAUUCUUCUUCAGAUGCUUCUCUUUCUUUUCUGAUUUCCUCAGUUCUUCCAUCUGUGUUCUCUUGGGCGGGGCUUGUCAUUUCUUUAAUUAAUCUCUUUAUAUCUUGCCUCACUUGGAUCAGGAGUACAUCUUUAAAUUCCUCUAUGAGAUCAUGUAAGUACUUUUUAAUUUCGGCUGAUGCUGUGUCGAGUAGAGGAUGGUUACUGUGCUUGUUCUCUUCAGUGUUUAGUUCUCUUGGGUUUAAUUUCUCCUGUUGAACAGCGGGAGAUUUUUUUUAAUUUUUAUUUCUUGUCAUGUUUCUGGUUUCUUUCAGACUGUCCUGGAGUUCUCUGGCCCUCUCUGAAUUGCUCAGGGCCUUUCAGAAGCGUGCUGGCUUGAGUUUUUGCUGUCCUCCCCAAUUUGCUGUUAUCUGGGGUAGGCUGGGAUGUAGGGGCGGUACAGUCUAGUCUCUAGCCUCUGUGUCAGUUAGUUCAUAAAUUAGGCUGUACUUUCUGGUUGUCACUGAGUUGUGACUAUUUUGUAUCUGCUUAUUGGGCCCCAAGCAGAGGCUUGGUUUAGCCCCAGUAGCUCCUGCCAGUUCUCUUUGAAUCAGAAGCAGCUGAGUAAUGGCACAGGAUUCUGCCCAGGUCCCAGCCGUUCUCUUCCAAACCUCUCUGUGAUAGGAGCACCAGAAAAGCAGAUCUGCCCAAAACCAAGAUGGCUCCCACUAAGUUCUCUGUGUGGAGCUGAAGCCAGCAAGUAAUCAGGCUCUGCCAGGACUCAAGAUGUCUUCCACCAGCCCUCCCUACAGGGGGACCUGGUGAUGUCACCAAGCUGCGGUUUCUGCUGCCAGGCUAAUAUGUCUGCACCAGACUCUGCGUUAUUGAUUUCCCCGUGGUGGCGGGCCAGCUGUUCUCUGGCCAAACCCAGCAGCCGCGGGGUUUUCUGUACUCACCAGAGUCCGGUGCAAGUCCCCACUCCGGGACCACCGCACACCAAGCUGUCCACUUUUCCCCCACUCGCGGCUCAGCGCUGACCGGUCAGAUUUCUGUGCACCGUUUAGAUUUGAAACGCCAGAGGUUUGUACGUCCGCUCUGGUGCAGCGGUGCAGAACUGGCUGCUACUUGGAGUCUCGAUCUGGGUCUCAGUUUCCCGCGGUCCCCAAAAGCAACUCAGCUUUUCGUGCUGGGUCCACGAGUCUGUUUGUUGAUUUAAGGGCGCGGGAUUUGCAGCCUCCCGUCUCAGCACGACUUUAAAUCCUCCAGCUGUACUGUCUUGGUUAAUAAGAAUCGCUAUUGAUUUGUCUGGUCCUCUCCAUGCUGUCUUUUUUUAGCUUUGAGUUUGAAUUCUCUGGAGAGACUCUUCGCUCGAUCCCCUAGCUCGCCGCCAUUUUCAGCACCUCCCCGGGACAAUGUCUUUUUUCAACUCCAUUUUAUUCAAACAUAAAAACAAAAAAGGAGGAGGAGGAGCAGGAAGAAAAGGAGAGGGAGAAGGAGAAGGAGGAGGAGAAGGAGAAGGAAAAGAAGAAGAAGAAGAUGAAGAAGAAGAAGAAGAAGAAGAAGAAGAAGAAAGAAGAAGAAGAAGAAGAAGAAGAAGAAGAAGAAGAAAAGAAGAGAAGUGUAUCAAUCAAUGGCAACAAUGGUACAUACAUUGUACAUUGUCAUCCCCAAAUCAUUCACCAAAACACAAUUGAAUUAUUGUCUGAACAAUACCAGCACAAAUCUUUCUCUUUAGUGAACUCAGAGAAAUCAGUAGUAUAAGUAUCCUAGCUAUUUUAUAUACCUAUACAUAUACAUGUACAUAUACAUGUGUUUUUUUCUUUCAGCUUUUCAACAUUAAUUAAACAAUAUGAUGUUUACACAUGUGUGUCUUUUUCUGGGGAGUAUUAGGGAUUGAACUCACAACCUCAUGCUUGCCAGGAAGGUGCUUAUGCUGCUCUGCCUAAUCUCCAGCUCAACACUUGUGUGUCUCAUUUAUUUCACUAAUGAGUUCUCAAGAUGCAUCCAUUUACCUACAGAAGUGUCCAGUUUAUCAUUAUUUAUGGCUGAGUAGUACUCCAUUGUGUAAAAAUACAACUUUUUUUAAUCCAUCCCUCAGUUGAUGGGCAUUUAGGUUGUUUCCAAGAUUUAGCUAUUAUAAAUUGUGCUGCUAUAAACAUGAGUGCACAUAUAUCUCUGUGGUAUAAUUCUUUUGGAAAGAUAUCCAGAAGGGGAAUAGCUGGAUUGAAUGGGACUUCCAAUCCUAGUUUUUUGAGGAAUCUCCAUACUGGUUUCCACAGUGGCUGCACCAGUCUACAUUCCACCAACAGUAGAAAAGGAUUCCUUUUUCUCCACAGCUCCUCCAGCAUUUGUUAUUGGUUGAUUUCUUGUUACUAGCCAUAUUUCUGGGGUGAAGUAGAAUCUCAGUGUUUUAAUUUGCAUCUCUCGAAUGAUCAGUAAUGUUGAACAUUUUUUCUACAUAUUUAUCCACUGUUUGUAUUUCUUCAUCUGAGAAGUGUGUAUUCAUCUCACAUGCCCAUGUUUGGAUGGGGUCUUUAAAUCAGGGAAAACUGAUUUUUUUUUUUUUUGAGUUCUUAAUAUGUUCUCAAGAGUAAUCCUUUGUUUUAGGUACAGCUAACGAACAUUUUCUCCCACAUUGUGGGUUGUCUCUUCAUUGUGUUAGUGAUAUCUUGCUGUACAAAAGCUUUUCAGGAGGGUGAGAUACCAGUCAUUGAUUCUUUGUGAUAGUUCCUGUGCAACCUGGGUUUUGUUUAUAAAGCCUUUGUAUGCACUGAAGUCUUCAGGACUUAUCUUUCAGCAGAUUUAAUGUUUCUGUUUUAAUAUUAAGAUCUUUGAUCCAUUCUGACUUCAGCUUAGUACAUGGUAAAAGAUAUGGGUCCAGUUUUAAUAUCUGGCAUUUGUAGAGACAGUUUUGCCAGCACCAUUUAUUAAAGAUGCUUUCUUUCUUCCUGUGAAUAUUUGGCACCUUUGUCAAAGAUAAGAUGUCUUAGCAUGUCUGAAGUUGUUUCUGUAUCUUAUAAUCUAUUCCGUGGAUUUUCAGGUCUGCUUUUUUGCCAGUACCACACUUUUUUAUCAUAGUAGUUUUGUAGUAUAAUUUCAAGUCAGGAAUUGUGAUGCCCUUUGACUUGUCUUUGUUGCCCAGAAUUGCCUUUGCUAGCCUAGGUCUCUUCUGGUUCCAGAUGAAUUUUAGGAUUGUUUUGUCUAAUUCUGUGAGAUAUGCUAUUGGAAUUUUGAUUGGCAUUGCUUUGGAUCUGUGUAACAGCUUUGGAAGUAUGGCCAUUUUCACUGUAUUAGUUCUUCCAAGAGCACAAGAUAUCUCUCCAUUUUCUACUAUCCUCUUCAAUCUUCUUUUUCAGAUCACGUAGUUUUCAAUGUAGGGAUCUUUUACAACCUUUGUUAGAUUGAUUCCUAGGUAUUUAAUUUUUGAGGUUACUAUUGUAAAAGGUGUUGUUUCCCUGAUUUCUCUCUCAGUGAGUUUGUUAUUUGUGUAUAAGAAGCCUAUUGAUUUUUGAGCAUUGACUUUGUAACCAGCUAUGUUACUUUUAAUUUGUUUAUUAAAUCUAUAAGUUUUUUGGUGGAGUUUUGGGGGUCUUCUAAGUAAAGUAUUGUGUCAUUUGCAGACAAUUGUGGUUUAACUUCUUCCUUUCCUAUCUGUAUUCCUUUUGUUUCUCUUGUCUCAUUGCUCCAGCUGAUGUUUCCAGGACUAUGUGAAGUAAGAGUAGAGACAGUGGACAUCCUUGUCUUGAACAAGAUUUUUUGGAUACUUAUUAUGUGCUAAUAAGUGUAUGUGUUGGGGAUAAAGAGAUGAACCAAUUCUUGAACUCCCACUUGUAGGGAAAUGGCAUAAAAUUCAGAAGUAUAAAUCCCAGGUUAAGCAUUAUAAAAAAUUGGAAUUCUGAAAUCAGUUGUCUUGGGAGUAGUCCCUUGUUUCUUGAUGGAUGGGCUGGGACCAAGUUUAAAGGUAAAGGAGUUCCUCUGGCACCUUUGCCAAUGACUCAGAGAGAGAACUGUGUCUGGAGGCAGUUCAGGCUCUGGGUCAGGAUGGUGCCACCAAGGCCCCCAUGCCUCUAAAGGGGAUACAGAAGCCAAGUCUUCAAAGGUUUGAUGACCUAUCAGCAUCAAUGCUUUCUGUCUAAAAGAGGUGCAGUCUGAGCUCAGAAAGCUGAGCCACCCUACCAGGGUUAAAAUAAUUUCUGACAUAAUAAUAAUACUGGCAGUGAAAUCUUAUGCUUAUGUGAUACUUCAUGUCUUCAAAUAAGGUCCACUUGCGUAUCUGUCACUAGAGGUGUUCAGGGUGCACUGAAACAGCCCCAAGAAAUUUCUCUAUGCACAAUACAUGUUGUAAUGGAGCACCCAACAUUUUCACAGAGCUAAGUAACCAUAUAAAGGCUGUUUUAGGACCUGUUGGGAUUAGAAAUUGUACAUCCAGUUUGGAUAAACUAUAGGAAGACCUUUUAAUGCCCUUCAACUGGUUAAUCAUGAUGUGUUGACUGUGAUGGCAGCAUCUGUGCUGUCCUGUCAAUUCAAGGAAUGUGGUCUUGGAAUGGUAGUCUUUUCUUGCUAUCUCAUCCUUAUUUUUUAAAAUUUUAUUUUAAAGAGAAUAAAACCAAGCAAAAUAAAACAGAAUAAAGUCGAUCAAAGGAAGACAGUGUAAGUGACACAGGAUUUCAAAACAAGAUAAUAGAAAAUCAACAAUGGUUACCAUAGUGUCUCUUGCUGUUCUUAGAAUAGGUGCCUAUACCUUGAAGCAUAGUAAAAUCAAACAAAACAGAAUAGAAUAGAAUCAAUAACAAUGACAACAAUAACAACAAAAAUAAAUGCAAUACAGGACUUCAAAACAAGACAAUAGUAAAUUAAAAAUGGCUACCAUAAUAUAUCUUGUUAUUGCUGAAAUAGCUGCCCAUGCCAUUGGAUAUAAUAAAAUUAAACAAGAUAAAACAGAAUAAAACCCAUCCAAACAAAACAGUGAGACUGACACACAAUGUCAAAACAAGAUAAUAGGGAAUUACAAUGAACACCACCUUCAGAAGGAGAUUCCUCAUGUAUGCUACAUUGCAUAUUGUUAUCCUCUAAAUAGAUAAUCAUCAGACUGCUGGCUUUAGGCCUGCAAAGUCAGUGAAAUACUAAGCACUACAAACAUUAUGCCAUCAUCACAGCCUGUGUUUCAGCUGGUCACUUGCGGGGGGAGGGGUGAGCGCUGGCUCUUCUUGUCUCUCUGCCCACAGAACAGGAGGGGCUGGUGUCUGGCUCUCCCCCAGUCAGCCUGUGCAUGGCACCAACUCACAGGACUUCUUGUUCUCCUCCUCCACAGUCCACCUACCUUAUCCAUUUUUUGCACACUCGUGUAAAUUCAAACUGGACCCUUCAGCAUAUGUUAGUGCUCAUCUUUGGCUGAAGUGAAAAGAGGGACAUCAGAGCUCCAUCACAGAGUUCAUCCUCCGAGGAUCCCCCUUGACACAAGACUGCAGAUGCUCCUCUGUGGUCCCUUCUCUCUUCUUCACAUUAGCCCUGCUGGAAAACAGGGCCAUUCUGGACAGCAGCCUGCGCACGCCCAUGCACUUCUUCCUCCUCUCAUUCCUGGCCAUUGUGACAUGACCUGUGAUGGAACCCUGUGCCUAGAUACCAGUGAACAUGCUGAGCCCAGGCAAGUCCAUGAUUGGUAAGCUUGACCACAGAUUUUGUCAAUGGAUGCCAGUCUUUAAUCAAUAAAUCUCCAUUUCCCCUAAGCCUAAGCAAAUAAUUAGGUGCAUUGACCCUGUGUAAGAGCAAGAAUCAUUGUGAGGAAAUAAGCAGAUGUGGGGUGAAAAUGGACAGAGGUGUCAGUGGGCUCUUCCUGUGGCUGAUGGGUUUUUAAACAUAGUAUUGCUGGGACUUCAUAUGGUCAUGCUCACAGUUCUGCUAUCCCUGAGUGCACCCUUUUAACUCCUAGGUGUCUAUUUUAAGCUAUUAGAAGUCAUAGCAAUAUGUAAAAUGAAUUUCUUCCCAUAGCGGUUGUCAACUUUAUAUGUAGAUAAGUGGAAAACAAGCAACCUAUGUUUGAUAAAAAUGAUGAAUCCCGCAAAACCUAAGUGGGGUGGAAAAUGGAAUGCUUUGUGGAAUUUGUAUCAUUGAGUCUCAGAAAAAGAGAGAAGUGAGUUUUGGCAGUACUGGGUACCCAACAUUACAAAGCACUGAGGUUGAUGAUUCAAGUGUCAUACCAAAUGGGAAGAAGUUUUUUUUUUGGUACAGCACCCUGUUUAAGACACUUAUGAUAUUGUGUUCCUCAGGCUAUGGUUUAGGAGGUUCAACACAGGAUCAAAAAGGCUGUAAAAGAGGGAUGGAAAGUCUGUGGUGGCCAUCCACAUGACAUAGUACUACCAAAGAAGAGCCUGACCAUGCAAAGGUGGGAAGGCCUUUCUGUGCCCCCACCCCCAGCUAUGUCCUCAGUAUGGCAACCAGAAUGCCUGAGGAGGGAACCAGCCAGAAGCAGAGGGACAUCAUAAAAACAAGCCCAUAGGCUGCAAAGAGGAUGACUUAGUUGAGCCUGGUGUCAGACACCUAGGCAUUAAAAGGGUGCACUCAGGUUGGCAGACAGGCUUUCACAGAAGAAGUGGCUGAUUUCAUGAAGCCCACAGAAUGUUGAUAACCACAUGGACCCGGGCCAGGCAGUGAUAGCUAGGAUGAUCCAGAAUAUUUGGUUGAUGGUGAUAGAACAUUGGAGAAGGUGGCUUAUGGCCACAUAGGGAUUUUUGGACAUCUGUACCAGAAGGAGGCAUUGUGGGUGUGCAAAUGUCAAUAAUGAAAGGUCUGAGAUAGACAGCCAUCAAAGGAGGUGGGCUGAGCACAGUGCUCCAUCAUAGACCAUGUUCACAAUGGCCAGGAGUGAGAGGAGGAAGAAUACGGGAGUGUGCAGUCUGCUGUCCAGAAUGGCCCUGUGUCUAGGCAGGGUUAAUGUGUAAAAGGGAGAAGAUUAUUUUCAGACUGCCUAUGGUAAAACUGCUAACAACAUUCUAAAGUCUAGAAAUAAUCAGCAAUGGGAAGAUUCCAAGGAGGAGAAUUAGAGUAAUCCCAGUGAAAGAGGCAAUGCCAGUUUCUCAAUACAAAUAUUAUCUGUGUUGUUUCAAACAUUGGGAAUCAGACUUGACUCUCUAGAGCAGUUUACGUGAGAACAGCAGCAAAAUGAUAAAAAGUGAAGAAUGCGACAAUGUGUCAUUUAGGUCCCAGCAGAGAAUCAAUAGAAGCCCUACAAAUGAGCUUUAUGACUAUGUUAUUUUAUAGUGGGUGAUACAUACAAACCAACUGGCUAUUGGGAAUUAAUCUAUGGACUGAUUCACAGUUGCCGAGUUUACCGAAGUAUUAGUUUUGAAUAACAACAUAUCCAAUUUGUAGAAAUUGGAUUUUUAAGAUUUCCUGCUCUUCAUGUAUUAUUGUGAGUUUAGAUUUUUGAAUGCAUUGUUUUUAAUAAGCUCAGGGAUUCAGGCUUUGACUUGAAGAUGGUUGUCAGUAUGUGUAGAUGUGUGUAAAAAUUUUCAAGAGAUGGUUUUCUAGGAGCUGUUUGUCAUUUAUCCUUCUCCUGUGCUGACAAAUGCAGACACUAAUAGAAGUAGGAGAAGCCACCCCUAGAGUGACAGUGUGUUGGAGGACCCCCUACUUGUGCCAAAAGGAAACAAAUGACUAUUCAUACAACGUGGUAAUUAACUUUGUCUUACUUUAUUUUUUUCAAGAAAAGCACUUGAGUAGAUAAAAGCUGCAAUCAACUGAAUCACACUGAUAAAUUAGAUAUAUUAGACCUGCAAGCUGACACAUACCUAUAAUUCUAGUACUCAAGAGGCUGGGACAGGAGGAUCACUGUGAGUUUUGAGACCAGACUGGGCUACAAAGUGAGUUCAAAGCCAACCUGAACUGCAUAGCAAAACCUUGUCUCAAAAGAAUAAAUAAGUCGGAGCUGGGGAUUUAGCUCAGCGGCAUAAGCGCCUGCCUUGCAAGCAGGCGGUCGUGAGUUCGAUCCCCAGUACCGAUAAAAAGGAAAAAGACAAAAAAAAUAAUAAAAAAAAAAAAAAAAAAAAAAAAAAAAAAAGAAUAAAUCAGUCAAUCAGUGCAUCAGUGGUAAGCAAAUCAGUCACCAAAUUUCACACUGAAGCACAGUGACAUUAAAGUGCUUUGUAGAAAAAAGGCCUUGGAACCAUACCUGCUGUGGCAGUAACCACAGAGACAUUUGGGUUUUUGGAAUUGCUUUAGUUUUUUCCAAAUUCUUGAUUUUAAUUAGCAUAUGUUUGCAGUGCCUAAUGAUCUCCUUCAUCGUGAGAGUUGAUACAUGUUUCUACACAUGUUAAUUCUUUUAUCCUCCCUCCCCUCUUCCAUUUCUUGGUUCUCCUCCCAUUUGCAAAAGGCCUUUAGAAAUGUAAGAUUUGAUAAAUACUCACAGAUGGCUAAUUUGAAGAUUUUAGCAAGUUCAGUUAACUUAUCAUUUCACAGAUUAUAAAGGCAAUAAAUUGUUAGACAAGACAAUUGGUAUUUCUGUAAGUUGGCAACAUGCCAAAUAACACUGAGGUUUUUGUGCUUCAAUCCUGGGUAAUAUUUCCUCAAAAAUAGUAUGCAUAAGUCCUGCAUUUUUGCUGUUGUGAAAUCUUUUGUCAAUGCCGUUGCUAGAAAAAAGUAAUGUGAAGCUGAGCUGUGGAACCUGUGCGUGUGGCAUCUGAAGAAAAAUGUUUCUCCAGGGUUGUGGAAGGGAAGCCUAAUGCUUUGGAUCAGACCCUGGACAUCAGACAUGGUCUUGCUAUGUAGGUCACAUUGGCCUCGAUCUCACUAUGUAGCCAGGUUGAUCUGGAACUCACCACAAUCUUCCUGCCUCAGCCUUCCAAGCACUGGGAUUUACAGAUGUGUCCCACCACGGCUAGAUACUUCUUACUUUAAGGAAAAAAACAGUGUUUAAAAAGUAUGACUCUUUGAAAGCCAAAUGGAGACACAAGUAGAAAGGAGUUCUAAAGGAGUACAUGAAGAUUGUUUAAGGUUUGGUGCCACGUGGUUAAAAGUCUGGUUCAAAAUGGAUUGUUAACAUAUUCUUGAGAGACAAUGAACAGAUCUACUCAUUUCUUUUCUUUUAUAAUUCUAAGACUUAAUAAAUGUUUACUAAGUGAACAAAUAAUGAAUAAACUCAAACAAUCAAAUUGAUUGUAUUUGUGGAGAUUGGAUCUGGAAUUUCUGGCUUUCUUAAAUCUCAUUUACUAUAUAUCUGUAUCAGGUAAAGGCAUCUCUGAGUGAAAAAGUAACACAUUUUCUGAUGUUAGGCAAGAAUCACUGGGGAAUUUCUAAAAAUUUUCAAAUAUUCAUUCUUUUCCUAUUCUAGCCUAUACUUUAUUUCAUUGUACAAGAUUUUUCAAGAUUCUUAACUGUAUAUGAAUGGAUUAAAGCUAGCCUAAAGAUAGAUAGAAAUGAAAAGAGAAACUAAAAUUAUUAAAUAUGUGAUCCACA